rnacentral:rRNA from 1 species
UACGUAGGGUCCGAGCGUUGUCCGGAAUUACUGGGCGUAAAGAGCUCGUAGGUGGUUUGUCGCGUUGUUCGUGAAAACUCACAGCUCAACUGUGGGCGUGCGGGCGAUACGGGCAGACUAGAGUACUGCAGGGGAGACUGGAAUUCCUGGUGUAGAGGUGGAAUGCGCAGAUAUCAGGAGGAACACCGGUGGCGAAGGCGGGUCUCUGGGCAGUAACUGACGCUGAGGAGCGAAAGCGUGGGGAGCAAACAGG